rnacentral:tRNA from 1 species
CCAGUUAUGGCGCAGGCGGUAUAGCGUGCGACUGUAACACGAGAGGCUGUGAGUUCGAUUCCCACUUGAGGAA